UACGGAGGGUGCGAGCGUUAUCCGGAUUUACUGGGUUUAAAGGGUGUGUAGGCGGGCUUUUAAGUCAGUGGUGAAAUCUUCAGGCUCAACCUGGAAACUGCCAUUGAUACUAUUAGUCUUGAAUACUGUGGAGGUGAGCGGAAUGUGUCAUGUAGCGGUGAAAUGCAUAGAGAUGACACAGAACACCGAUUGCGAAGGCAGCUCACUACGCAGUUAUUGACGCUGAGGCACGAAAGCGUGGGGAGCAAACAGG
rnacentral:rRNA from 1 species